rnacentral:tRNA from 1 species
GCUUGAUUGGCUCAGUGGUUGAGCAUCUGCCUUCAGCUCAGGUCAUGAUCCCGGGGUCCUGGGAUCAAGUCCCACAUCAGGCU